rnacentral:piRNA from 1 species
UGAAUUCCUCUUAAAGAGAUAGCCCCU